rnacentral:rRNA from 1 species
GGCGGCGUGGAUAAGACAUGCAAGUCGAACGAGAGAAUUGCUAGCUUGCUAAUAAUUCUCUAGUGGCGCACGGGUGAGUAACACGUGAGUAACCUGCCCCCGAGAGCGGGAUAGCCCUGGGAAACUGGGAUUAAUACCGCAUAGUAUCGAAAGAUUAAAGCAGCAAUGCGCUUGGGGAUGGGCUCGCGGCCUAUUAGUUAGUUGGUGAGGUAACGGCUCACCAAGGCGAUGACGGGUAGCCGGUCUGAGAGGAUGUCCGGCCACACUGGAACUGAGACACGGUCCAGACACCUACGGGUGGCAGCAGUCGAGAAUCAUUCACAAUGGGGGAAACCCUGAUGGUGCGACGCCGCGUGGGGGAAUGAAGGUCUUCGGAUUGUAAACCCCUGUCAUGUGGGAGCAAAUUAAAAAGAUAGUACCACAAGAGGAAGAGACGGCUAACUCUGUGCCAGCAGCCGCGGUAAUACAGAGGUCUCAAGCGUUGUUCGGAAUCACUGGGCGUAAAGCGUGCGUAGGCUGUUUCGUAAGUCGUGUGUGAAAGGCGCGGGCUCAACCCGCGGACGGCACAUGAUACUGCGAGACUAGAGUAAUGGAGGGGGAACCGGAAUUCUCGGUGUAGCAGUGAAAUGCGUAGAUAUCGAGAGGAACACUCGUGGCGAAGGCGGGUUCCUGGACAUUAACUGACGCUGAGGCACGAAGGCCAGGGGAGCGAAAGGGAUUAGAUACCCCUGUAGUCCUGGCAGUAAACGGUGCACGCUUGGUGUGCGGGGAAUCGACCCCCUGCGUGCCGGAGCUAACGCGUUAAGCGUGCCGCCUGGGGAGUACGGUCGCAAGAUUAAAACUCAAAGAAAUUGACGGGGACCCGCACAAGCGGUGGAGUAUGUGGCUUAAUUCGAUGCAACGCGAAGAACCUUACCUGGGCUUGACAUGUAAUGAACAACAUGUGAAAGCAUGCGACUCUUCGGAGGCGUUACACAGGUGCUGCAUGGCCGUCGUCAGCUCGUGUCGUGAGAUGUUUGGUUAAGUCCAGCAACGAGCGCAACCCCUGUUGCCAGUUACCAGCACGUGAAGGUGGGGACUCUGGCGAGACUGCCCAGAUCAACUGGGAGGAAGGUGGGGACGACGUCAGGUCAGUAUGGCCCUUAUGCCCAGGGCUGCACACGUACUACAAUGCCCAGUACAGAGGGGGCCGAAGCCGCGAGGCGGAGGAAAUCCUGAAAACUGGGCCCAGUUCGGACUGUAGGCUGCAACCCGCCUACACGAAGCCGGAAUCGCUAGUAAUGGCGCAUCAGCUACGGCGCCGUGAAUACGUUCCCGGGUCUUGUACACACCGCCCGUCACAUCAUGGAAGCCGGUCGCACCCGAAGUAUCUGAAGCCAACCGCAAGGAGGCAGGGUCCUAAGGUGAGACUGGUAACUGGGAUGAAA